rnacentral:sRNA from 1 species
GCUGAGCGUGGUGGCGUGUGCCUGUAAUCCCAGUGGCUUGGGAAGCUGAGGCAGGAGGAUCAUGAGUUCAAAGCCAGCCUCAGCAAAAGUGAGGCACUAAGCACCUCAGUGAGACCCUGUCUCUA